rnacentral:rRNA from 1 species
GACGAACGCUGGCGGCGUGCUUAACACAUGCAAGUCGAACGGUGAAGCGGGUGCUUGCACUCGUGGAUCAGUGGCGAACGGGUGAGUAACACGUGAGUAACCUGCCCAUCACUCUGGGAUAAGCGCUGGAAACGGCGUCUAAUACUGGAUACGACCAACCCUUGCAUGGGGUGUUGGUGGAAAGAUUUAUCGGUGGUGGAUGGACUCGCGUCCUAUCAGCUUGUUGGUGGGGUAAUGGCCUACCAAGGCGACGACGGGUAGCCGGCCUGAGAGGGCGACCGGCCACACUGGGACUGAGACACGGCCCAGACUCCUACGGGAGGCAGCAGUGGGGAAUAUUGCACAAUGGGCGAAAGCCUGAUGCAGCGACGCCGCGUGAGGGAUGACGGCCUUCGGGUUGUAAACCUCUUUCAGCAGGGAAGAAGCUUUUGUGACGGUACCUGCAGAAGAAGCACCGGCUAACUACGUGCCAGCAGCCGCGGUAAUACGUAGGGUGCGAGCGUUGUCCGGAAUUAUUGGGCGUAAAGAGCUUGUAGGCGGUUUGUUGCGUCUGCUGUGAAAAUCUGGGGCUUAACCCUGGACGUGCAGUGGGUACGGGCAGACUAGAGUGUGGUAGGGGAGACUGGA